AUCGGCGGUUCCUGCGCCGAUUUGAUGAAGACAGAAAACGACGAGAUACAAAGGAACUGCGAUCAUUGCUUUGUUAUAGUCGAAAUAAAGCUCACGCAGAUGUUCCACGUCGAAUCGUGCCAAAUCAAACCUAACGAUUAUGAAGAUUUAAAAAUUCUGGCAGAAUAUUCGACGAUUUUUAAUUUUUUAAUACAAAGUAAACGUACUUAUCGAACGUUGAAACGACGCACAUGGCAAUAAGAAAGGAAAAGAUGUUUGUAUAAAUCUCGCAAAAUGAUGCUUUUGGUGGGAAAAACGUGCAUAUGCAUGAGAAGAGGGGAAUUAUGCCUUCGGACCGGACAGUACGCAGUUAGCCGAAAACAGCCCUUCAUAAUUAGUGGCGUUUCGAAAACUCCGACAAAAUGCUACGCCGUACCGCAAGCACUUAUAAGAUUUUAAUCCUCAUUUUUGCUUCAGAAGAUUUGUCGUACUUCCAUUGGUCGAGCCACUAAAUCAAAUUAUUAUAAAAUUACACAAUUACACGAAUAGUUAUACAGAAAUUGAUGAACUCGUAAAAUCGUACAAUCAUUGUAAAAUGGCAAAUUGAAUUGAAAAAAAACAAUUUUAUUUUACAAAUCAA